GCUUAACACAUGCAAGUCGAGCGAGAAUCGUUUUGCUGAAGGCUUCGGUCCGAUGCAGAAUGAGGAAAGCGGCGAACGGGUGAGUAACGCGUGGGCAACCUGGCCUUAAGAAAAGGAUAGCCCCCGGAAACGGGGAGUAAUACUUUAUGAGAAUAGAAAAGGGCAUCCUGUUUCUAUUCAAAGCGCAAGCGCUUAAGGAUGGGCCUGCGUAUCAUUAGCUAGUUGGUGGGAUAACAGCAGACCAAGGCAACGAUGAUUAGCCGGUCUGAGAGGGCGAACGGCCACAUUGGAACUGAGAGACGGUCCAAACUCCUACGGGAGGCAGCAGUGGGGAAUAUUGCGCAAUGGAGAAGAACUCGGACGAAGCAAUACCGCGUGAGCGAAGAAGGUCUUCGGAUCGUAAAGCUCUGUUAUCAGGGAAGAAGAAAAUGAUGGUACCUGAUGAGCAAGUCCCGGCUAACUACGUGCCAGCCGCCGCCGUAA
rnacentral:rRNA from 1 species